GAGAAGAAGUAGCGAAAUGCGAUAAGUAAUGUGAAUUGCAGAAUUCAGUGAAUCAUCGAAUCUUUGAACGCACAUUGCGCCCGCUAGUAUUCUGGCGGGCAUGCCUGUCCGAGCGUCAUUUCAACCCUCAAGCCCCCGGGCUUGGUGUUGGGGAUCGGCGAGCCUCCGCGCCCGCCGUCCCCUAAAUCUAGUGGCGGUCUCGCUGUAGCUUCCUCUGCGUAGUAGCACACCUCGCACUGGGAAACAGCGCGGCCACGCCGUUAAACCCCCAACUUCUGAACGUUUGACCUCGGAUCAGGUAGGAAUACCCGCUGAACUUAAGCAUAUCAAUAAGCGGAGGA
rnacentral:misc_RNA from 1 species